CAGAGGGUGCGAGCGUUAAUCGGAUUUACUGGGCGUAAAGCGUGCGUAGGCGGCUUUUUAAGUACGGAGUGUGAAAUACCCUCGAGCUUAACUUAGGAAGUUGCAUUCGAUACUGGGAAGGCUAGAGUAUGGGAGGAGGAUGGUAGAAUUCCAGGUGUAGCGGUGAAAUAGCGUAGAGAUCUGGAGGAAUACCGAUGGCGGAAGGCAGCCAUCUGGCCUAAUACUGACGCUGAGGUACGAAAGCAUGGGGAGCAAACAAGGAUU
rnacentral:rRNA from 1 species